CCCUACUCAGAGUUAGGACUUCUCUUGCACCAGAGACUGUGGAGAUAAGUCUUCCCAUGAUCUUGUUUUGGGAUUAGAUGACUUAGAAAAAAAUGAUGAUUCAACCAUUAAAGAAUAGUCACAUGGAAUGGAACAACUUGGAACUGAAUUCAGAGAUUUUUAGCUUUAUUUACUAACAAGGUAGGUCUUGGAAAGAAGGAAUGUCAGCCUUUCAGAUUCGAAGACCUUGAAUCAUGGAGGACUACUGGAUUAGAAGAUUUGAAGACAGAGAUUAUGAAGAAGCACGGGAGGUUUUAAUCAGUGGCCUGAAUGAACAUUCCUCAACAUUGUUCAGAUGUGCUCUCCAGCAGCCUGGGAUACAGUUGGCUCUGCUCUCGGUCUUCUGCUUCUUUUUCCUGAAUUCUGCCUCCUUCUUGUUGUCUUCAGUAGUACUUGCCUUAGCAGUCUUGGCAGUGAAUCGCACAGCAUAUCAGUUUGUCAGCAUCUGUUGGACUGAAGUAGCCUUAAAAGAUGACCUGCUGGACAUCAAAAAAAGCUACAUGGAAACCAGUGAUUCUUUCUUUUGGGUAGCAGAUUGCAACGGGAAAGUAGUGGGGACCAUUGCAGCACUGCCUUUUAAAGAGAUGGUGGGAGCCUUGGAACUGAAAUGCUUGUCUGUCUGAAUGUGAUACAGGGGCAGAGGUAUUCAGGGAAACAACAACAACAUUUAUUUAUAUAGCACAUUUUCAUAGAAAUAAUGUAGCUCAAAGUGCUUUACAUGAUAGAUAGAUAGAUAGAUAGAUAGAUAGAUAGAUAGAUAGAUAGAUAGAUAGAUAGAUAGAUAGAUAGAUAGAUAGAUAGAUAGAUAGAUAGAUAGAUAGAUAGAUAGAUAGAUAGAUAGAUACUUUAUUAAUCCCAAGGGGAAAUUCACAUGAUGAAGAAAGAGAAAAAAGACAAAAUAAGAAUUAAAAUAAGAGAACACUAAUUAACAUAGAAUAAAAGUAAAGUCCGACGGCCAAGGAGGGCUAAAGGUCCGCUGCAGAGCUGUCAUUGAUUUUGCCCAGGCAAAUGGCUUCCAAAGCACAGUGCUGUGUACAUCUGUGAUCCAACAUGAAGGGAAGAAGCUUUAUGAGAGAUUAGGCUUUAGGAAAAUAAAAGAAUACUUCUGGCCUUCACUCUUAGGGAAAGCAUUAGGCCUGGUGUUGAGCGAUUACAAAUAAGAUGUUUCUCUUCUUCAGAAAUAUAAUGAAAAAGAUACUUCAGUAUUACCAGCUGUUUUACUACAUUUAGCAUUAGAAACCAAAAAACCCAGCUAGCCAAAUACACUCAGGCCACACACGGACAGAUUUCCUCAAACCAGAUCCUUAUCAGUUAUCCCAGAUAUGGCUGUAGCAUGAGGGCAGAGUUUAUUUGGAAUGACUGGACAGCUCUAUUUUGAGCGAUUUAGGUCAGAAAUUGCAGCCAACCUCACCAGAAUCCACCCGUUAAUAAUUUAUACUUCAAGGCAAGAUUGUGCCAGUUCUGCUCCAUGCUAGCAUAAUACACUCGGACUUCAACUGGACAGAUUUCUCUGAGCUGGAUCCUAAUCAGUCCGCCCAGAUGUGGCUGUAUUACUCAGUCUGACACUGUUUGGAAUGACAGUCUGUCUCUGGCCCAGCCUGCUCCAGCCUGAAGUUGCACUCAAUCAUUCCCCAAAGCAACUGGCACUGACCCAGAAUCCACCCACUAAUAUCUUAUACUUGAUGGCAGAAUUGUGCCAGUUCUGUAGCGCUUGACUUGAACUCCUUAGCAAAGGCUGCACAGUUCUUGAUCAAGUCAGUCAGGGCAGCAAGAGACCCUGCAAUCAACAUGCCAGAAUCUGAAGCUUCAUGUCGGAAUCGCCCAGAUUACUUCUGGUGAUCAAUUCCUUCACUGCAUUAACAUUUACAUCAAUCCAAUCUCAUAUUUGCACAUGAUUUAGAAAUUAUUUGUAAAAUGUAUGACAAGGAGACACAGUGGCUUACUUCAAUAAGCUGUGCUAAUACUAGUCACAAUGUACUCCAUUAACCUUUAUUUGACAUAUAGAAAAGGAAAGUGAAGAAAAGCAUGUAAUUCCAAAAAAUAUAAAAAAUUAAUUAUACAGGUAAAAUUCUGUUACAACGAACUGCCAGGGACCUAAAAAAUAUUUUGUUGUAAUGAAAAUUUCGUAGUAAUGAGAUUCUGUAUUUGUCACUAUAGUGCUUUCUUUAAGUUGCGUCCAGGCAUUUGCAAUCAUUUCAAUAGCUUCUUUUGCAUUAGUUUUAAUCUUCUCCUGUCUACAGGUUAUGCUGAUGAGAAUGUUUCUCAGCAUUUCCUUACAAUAAUACACUUUCAGGGUGCGAAUGAUGCCCAAAUCCAAUGGCUGAAGCACUGCUGUGCAAUUGGGUGGGAGGAAUUCACCGCGAACAUUAUCUAAAUGUGAAAGCAUGUUGUGGGCAGCACAGUUAUCAAUCAGAAGCCGAAUCAUCCUUAUCUUCUUCUUUUUCAUAUUGUGAGGUUUCUGAACUCUUUUGGAAUCCCCCCCACCCAACGGGAACGACACGCUGAAGUGCAUCCCAAAACACGCAAUUGCCUCGUCUGUGGAAGAUUGUUUGUCCGUUGCUGGGGCAGGGCAACAGCAGGCUCACAGCGCUACAGUGAAGCUCCAGAGAAGCAAAUCCUAAAAGAUCGGGUCGUGCUAUAAGUCCAUGUCUUGCACCCCAAAACACGAGGCUGAGUCUCAGUGCUUUAGCAAAACCAGCUUUAUUCAGCUUGAAACAGGAAUAGCACGGUUAUUUAUUGUGAAUUUCCCCUUGGGAUUAAUAAAGUAUCUAUCUAUCUAUCUAUCUAUCUAUUGUAGGGGGAUCUGCCUCUCUUCCUAUACACAGACACAGCAGUCAGGCAGGGUCAUGGCCAGGUUAGUGGCCAAGUAAUCCUGUUCCCUGCAUUUACAUUGUUCCUUGCAUCACCCAUCGAGAUAUUUUUUGUUUGCUUUGGCGGCGAGCCGCAGCAGAGCUGUGAGCCUGCUAUUGUCCCGGCAACAGAUAAACAGUCUUCCACAGACGUGGUGAUCGCACUUCAGGACGCUCUUUGGUGUGUUGUCCAGUUGGGGAGGUCCCAAGAGAGUUUAGAAACCUCACAUUUUCUUGAAUGAGUGCCGCAUUAAUAGGAAUGUUUCUUGAACGAGCAUCACUGAACCACAUAAAAACUGCUUUUCCGACGUCUUCAAAUGCAGCAGUUCGCAUACAUUUGCAACCUGAGAUUUUUCUUCUUUUUUUGCUCAGUCUUUCAAGAAAGUUGACAGUGUUGAUGGCGAAAUUCCAAAUUCACUGGCAACGUCUUUUCUCUUUUUGCCGGAAUCGAGAGAAGUUUUUUUUUUUUCUAAUAUGAACUGUUAUUGUUUUUUUGUGUCUGCCGUUUCUAUAGGAGGGUGACAAUGAGUUAAAUUCCAAUGGAUGUUUUUCAAAUGUUGACAAGCAAUAAGUAAAAGGUAUCACUGAAAACCACCGAAAACAAAAACAGCAAAAAAAUGGUACGAGGAAAGUUUGAAGAAAGAGACAAAUUUACAAUUUUUGUGUUCAGGGGAUCGUUGUGCACAACUGAGCUGCGACCACAGAACUAACUGCUCUGUGGAUGAUUCAUUCAGGCAUUUCAAGGGCACUUCGUUGUAAUGAAAGUAUCUGCUGAAUGUACUUUGUAGUAAUGAGAUUUCUAUAGGCUCGUGUCAUAUGGGGAAACUGUCGGGACCAUAAAAAUACUUUGUUGUAAUGAAAAUUUCGUUGUAAAGAUAUUCGUUGUAAUGAAAAUUUCAUUGUAAAGAUAUUCCUUGUAAUGGAAUUUUACCUGUAUAUUGUAUAGAUUAUAUACAUGCUGUAUACAAUGCUUUUUUGUCUUUUGAUGGUAUUUUAUUUUAUAGCUGUUCCAACUUCAUUGUACUAUGUAAAUAUGUCACUACAAUUGAUUUGACUUUAUUUUACAAGCAGUAUUGUCAUUGAAUUAAAUAUGAACCUCAAUAAAGUCGUAUUAAAUGAAACACUUCAGCAAAAGCAUGACAGUUGACUCCACAGUUGGUACAUUAAAUAAUGCUUCCUGAGGCAAGUUACAUUACUGUCACCCCCAACUCAGAUCCCCAC